AACCCCCCCCCCGGCAACCCUGAGGGAGAAGCGGCUUAGAAAAUGGAUGGAUGGAUGAAUAAUUAGACAUAUCAUUCUGAUAGGUGAUCAAAUGAAAAGCUCUCGGUGAGGGGACUCAGACUUUUGGACCCCGCUCAAUGUAGCAUUUAUUUUCUUCUAGUUAUCAAAUUAUGUCUCCACAUCAGUGGCUGGAUCUACUGAGUGAAUCUGAUGUCUGAUGGAGUCUGCUAAUAGGUGAUUGGUCUAUCCAGAGAGCCUGAUUUGCAUAGACCGACUGCAGUACAGUAAGGCAGGUAUGUUCUCCCUGCGCUCUGCUGGUGUCUGAUGUAAACAGUGUGUUGCUGUGGGCUCCCGCAGGUUUCAGAUGCAGAUGCUUUCUCUGGCACACAGGUCUGUGAGGAGGAGAGCCGGAAGUUUCACGGCUUAAUUGAUGCCUUUCCACGUAACCAUGACAACUCGAGGAGACAGGCCGUCACUAUGGAGAUCGGAACUGAUGUCAGAGUCUCUGUCACACAUGGCUUUAGUGAGGAGGGGGGCGUUUACUGACGGCAGUUUGGCCUCGCUCCAGUUGUUCUGGCCUGGGCUGCUUUUUGAAUACGUGCCAUCAGAACAAAAGCAGCUAGUUUUAGUCAAGAGAUAAAGGUGGUAAUGGACUGGCGACCUGUCCAGGGUGUAUCCUGCCUUCUGCCUGAUGACCACUGGGAUAGGCUCCAGCACCCCCCCUGCGACCCUGACGGAGAAGCGUCUUAGAAAAUGGAUGGAUGGAUGGAUGGAUGGACUUAUAUUAAAU
ensembl:lncRNA